rnacentral:rRNA from 1 species
AUACGUAGGGGGCGAGCGUUGUCCGGAAUUACUGGGCGUAAAGGGUGCGUAGGCGGUUGCUUAAGUCAGAUGUGAAAUCCCCGGGCUUAACUCGGGUGGUGCAUUUGAAACUGGGCGGCUUGAGUGCAGGAGAGGGAAGCGGAAUUCCUAGUGUAGCGGUGAAAUGCGUAGAUAUUAGGAGGAACACCAGUGGCGAAGGCGGCUUUCUGGACUGUAACUGACGCUGAGGCACGAAAGCGUGGGGAGCAAACAGGAUUAGAUACCCUGGUAGUCCACGCUGUAAACGAUGGAUACUAGGUGUAGGGGGCGUAAAGCCUUCUGUGCCGCAGCAAACGCAAUAAGUAUCCCGCCUGGGGAGUACGGCCGCAAGGUUGAA